rnacentral:rRNA from 1 species
GACGAGCGCUGGCGGCGUGCUUAACACAUGCAAGUCGAACGGAAAGGCCCUGCUUUUGUGGGGUGCUCGAGUGGCGAACGGGUGAGUAACACGUGAGUAACCUGCCCUUGACUUUGGGAUAACUUCAGGAAACUGGGGCUAAUACCGGAUAGGAGCUCCUGCUGCAUGGUGGGGGUUGGAAAGUUUCGGCGGUUGGGGAUGGACUCGCGGCUUAUCAGCUUGUUGGUGGUGUAGUGGCUUACCAAGGCUUUGACGGGUAGCCGGCCUGAGAGGGUGACCGGCCACAUUGGGACUGAGAUACGGCCCAGACUCCUACGGGAGGCAGCAGUGGGGAAUAUUGCACAAUGGGCGGAAGCCUGAUGCAGCAACGCCGCGUGCGGGAUGACGGCCUUCGGGUUGUAAACCGCUUUCGCCUGUGACGAAGCGUGAGUGACGGUAAUGGGUAAAGAAGCACCGGCUAACUACGUG